UGGGGAAUUUUGGACAAUGGGGGCAACCCUGAUCCAGCCAUGCCGCGUGCGGGAAGAAGGCCUUCGGGUUGUAAACCGCUUUUGGUCGGGAAGAAAAGGCUGAGGCUAAUAUCCUUGGUUCUUGACGGUACCGGCAGAAUAAGCACCGGCUAACUACGUGCCAGCAGCCGCGGUAAUACGUAGGGUGCGAGCGUUAAUCGGAAUUACUGGGCGUAAAGCGUGCGCAGGCGGUUAGUUAAGUCUGAUGUGAAAGCCCCGGGCUCAACCUGGGAAUGGCAUUGGAAACUGGCUGGCUAGAGUGUGGCAGAGGGGGGUGGAACUCCGCGUGUAGCAGUGAAAUGCGUAGAGAUGCGGAAGAACACCGAUGGCGAAGGCAGCCCCCUGGGCUAACACUGACGCUCAGGCACGAAAGCGUGGGGAGCAAACA
rnacentral:rRNA from 1 species